rnacentral:rRNA from 1 species
GACGAACGCUGGCGGCGUGCUUAAAACAUGCAAGUCGAACGAUGACGGAGGCUUCGGCCUUCCGAUUAGUGGCACACGGGUGCGUAACACGUGAACAACCUGCCGCGCGGUGGGGGAUACCCUCUCGAAAGGGGGGUUAAGACCGCAUAGGGCCUUGAGGGGCAUUCCUCGAGGCGGAAAACCGCAAGGUGCCGGGCGAGGGGUUCGCGGCCUAUCAGCUCGUAGGUGGGGUAAUGGCCUACCUAGGCGACGACGGGUAGCCGGCCUGAGAGGGUGGCCGGCCACACUGGGACUGAGACACGGCCCAGACUCCUACGGGGGGCAGCAGUUGGGAAUCUUGCGCAAUGGGGGCAACCCUGACGCAGCGACGCCGCGUGGAGGAUGACGCCUUUCGGGGUGUAAACUCCUUUUCCUAGGGACGACUCUCGACGGUACCUAGGGAAUCAGCCCCGGCUAACUCCGUG